GUCAUAUUCUCUAGUUUUUUGAAACGACAGAGCCGCGUGGUGACUUUCUAACACCGCGAUAUCGUUAUACAAGACAGCCAAACGGUCUGAAGCGUUACAUAGAAAGGAGUUUGUAAAACCAGGAUGAUCUAUAUCGUGAACUGUCGCAGCAAUUAAUGCAGCUAUUUCGUCCAUUGGCUCGAGAGUGUUCUAAAAUAGCUCAAUAAUGUUGUAGUCCCAUAACGACUCUCCUUCAAGAGCUUCAAGAAUCUCGGCCGGAGCUUCCGUGAGAUGAAGUAAAGUGUUAUGACCAGGAAAAUGUGCUGAAUCAGACCGAUGGCCUGAAUAAAAUAUGUCUAGGUGAGAUUCAAUGGUAUUUUUUCAAGUAUUAAAAUAAAAUGAUUACCUGUGACCAGUGCCCCACCAGAGGGUCUGCGAUUUGCCUAAGAUGGAAUGUAUAAUAAGUGUACAAUAUAAAGAUAUCAUAAAUAUAUAGCCUCAGUAAGUUAUUUUAACUUACAACUAAGCCUUCAUAAGGUGAUACAUCAUCAUCUAGUGUCUCAUUUCCAAUUGAAUAGAGUUCUUUUGUCUGCAGUAUUUCCUGGAUAAGAAAAAGUAGUAUUUAACAAAUGUUGCUAGUGGUAAAAAAAAAUUACAACUGUUCCUUUAAACUACA